rnacentral:misc_RNA from 1 species
UUUCCGUAGGUGAACCUGCGGAAGGAUCAUUAUUGUAUAACCGAGGUGCGAGGGCUGUCGCUGACCCGAAAGGUCGUGCACGCCCGAGUGCCCUCACACACAUCCAUCUUACCCCUAUGUGCACCACCGCGUGGGUCCCCCUUUGGCUUGUUCGGAGGGGGGCUUACGUUUUCACACAAACUUUGUAUGCAGUGUAGAAUGUAUUUUUUGUUUUUGCGAUCACGCAAUCAAUACAACUUUCAACAACGGAUCUCUUGGCUCUU